rnacentral:rRNA from 1 species
CAGCAGCCACGGUAAUACGUAGGUGGCAAGCGUUGUCCGGAAUUAUUGGGCGUAAAGGGCUCGCAGGCGGUUUCUUAAGUCUGAUGUGAAAGCCCCCGGCUCAACCGGGGAGGGUCAUUGGAAACUGGGAAACUUGAGUGCAGAAGAGGAGAGUGGAAUUCCACGUGUAGCGGUGAAAUGCGUAGAGAUGUGGAGGAACACCAGUGGCGAAAGCGACUCUCUGGUCUGUAACUGACGCUGAGGAGCGAAAGCGUGGGGAGCGAACAGGAUUAGAUACCCCGGUAGUCCCUGUCUCUUAUAC